AGGCAGCAGUGGGGGAAUAUUGCACAAUGGGCGCAAGCCUGAUGCAGCCAUGCCGCGUGUGUGAAGAAGGCCUUCGGGUUGUAAAGCACUUUCAGUCGUGAGGAAGGUAGUGUAGUUAAUAGCUGCAUUAUUUGACGUUAGCGACAGAAGAAGCACCGGCUAACUCCGUGCCAGCAGCCGCGGUAAUACGGAGGGUGCGAGCGUUAAUCGGAAUUACUGGGCGUAAAGCGCAUGCAGGUGGUUUGUUAAGUCAGAUGUGAAAGCCCGGGGCUCAACCUCGGAAUUGCAUUUGAAACUGGCAGACUAGAGUACUGUAGAGGGGGGUAGGAAUUUCAGGUGUAGCGGUGAAAUGCGUAGAGAUCUGAAGGAAUACCGGUGGCGAAGGCGGCCCCCUGGACAGAUACUGACACUCAGAUGCGAAAGCGUGGGGAGCAAACAGGAUUAGAUACCCUGGUAG
rnacentral:rRNA from 1 species